CAGUAGCCGCGGUAAUACGUAGGUCCCGAGCGUUGUCCGGAUUUAUUGGGCGUAAAGGGAGCGCAGGCGGUUUAGUAAGUCUGAUGUGAAAGCCCACGGCUCAACCGUGGAGGGUCAUUGGGAACUGUUAAACUUGAGUGCAGGAGAGAAAAGUGGAAUUCCUAGUGUAGCGGUGAAAUGCGUAGAUAUAUGGAGGAACACCGGUGGCGAAAGCGGCUCUCUGGCUUGUAACUGACGCUGAGGCUCGAAAGCGUGGGGAGCAAACAGGAUUAGAUACCCGCGUAGUCCCUGUCUCUUAUAC
rnacentral:rRNA from 1 species